rnacentral:rRNA from 1 species
AUUGAACGCUGGCGGCGUGCUUAACACAUGCAAGUCGUGCGGUAACAGGCGUAGCAAUACGUGCUGACGAGCGGCGAACGGGUGCGUAAUACAUGGGAAUCUGCCUUUUAGUGGGGAAUAACCCGGCGAAAGCCGGGCUAAUGCCGCAUAAGAUCUUCGGAUGAAAGCGGGGGAUCGUAAGACCUCGCGCUGAUAGAUGAGCCCAUGCCGGAUUAGCUAGNGGUGAGGUAACGGCUCACCAAGGCGACGAUCCGUAGCUGGUCUGGAGAGGACGGCCAGCCACACUGGGACUGAGACACGGCCCAGACUCCUACGGGA